rnacentral:rRNA from 1 species
AACGAACGCUGGCGGCAUGCCUAACACAUGCAAGUCGAACGAGACCUUCGGGUCUAGUGGCGCACGGGUGCGUAACGCGUGGGAACCUGCCCUUAGGUUCGGAAUAACUCCCCGAAAGGGGUUCUAAUACCGGAUAAUGUCUUCGAACCAAAGAUUUAUCGCCUUUGGAUGGGCCCGCGUUGGAUUAGCUAGUUGGUAGGGUAAAAGCCUACCAAGGCGACGAUCCAUAGCUGGUCUGAGAGGAUGAUCAGCCACACUGGGACUGAGACACGGCCCAGACUCCUACGGGAGGCAGCAGUGGGGAAUAUUGGACAAUGGGCGAAAGCCUGAUCCAGCAAUGCCGCGUGAGUGAUGAAGGCCUUAGGGUUGUAAAGCUCUUUUACCCGGGAUGAUAAUGACAGUACCGGGAGAAUAAGCUCCGGCUAACUCCGUG